AAGAAUCCAGACCGCCGUCUAAGGUCCCUNAGUUCUGUCUAAGUUAGUCUAACGAAGUGUGGUCCCCGUGACAGCUAGGAUGUUGGCUUGGAAGCAGCCAUUCAUUCAAAGAGUGCGUAGCAGCUCACUAGUCGAGGGUCCGCGCAUGGAUAAUAAUCGGGUAUAAGACAGACACCGAAGACGCGGGAUAGCAUUAGAAAAAGUAUCGGUAGGGGAGCAUACCGUCGGCCUUGAAGCUGAAGGAACGACCUUCAGUGGAGCUUACGGUAAAGCAAAUGUAGGUAUAAGUAACGAUAAGGAGGGUAAGAUCCCCUCCCGCCGAAAGACCAAGGUUUCCCGGGCAAUGCCAAUCAGCCCGGGGUUAGUCGGGUCCUAAGUGUAAGCCGACAGGCGAUCGCGAUGGCAGACACGGUUAAUAUUCCGUGACUACCUUAUGAGGCGAUGUGCUGACGGAGUCGUGACACCACCGCGGGGUGACGGAAAUCCCCGUUGACGCAUGUAGGCUAUGAGGAUGGCAGGCAAAUCCACCAUCCGAGCUGAAUUGCCAUAGUAUGGCCUCGUCCUCGGACAAGGCCAAUAGUGUGGGUAAUCAUACUCCCGAGAAAAUGCGCUAAGCUCAACUCAUAAGGUACCCGUACCUCAAACGGACACACGUGGUCGGGAAGAAUAUUCUAAGGCGUUGAGAGAUUCAUGGUUAAGGAACUAGGCAAAUUGACCCUGUAACUUCGGGAUAAAGGGUCCUCUCCUCCGGGAGAGGCGCAGAGAAUAGGUCCAGGCAACUGUUUAACAAAAACACAGGGCUGUGCAAACUCGAAAGAUGAAGUAUACAGCCUGACUCCUGCCCGGUGCCGGAAGGUUAAGAGGAGUUGUCAGCCAUUUAGGUGAAGCAAUGAAUUGAAGCCCCGGUAAACGGCGGCCGUAACUAUAACGGUCCUAAGGUAGCGAAAUUCCUUGUCGGGUAAGUUCCGACCUGCACGAAUGGAGUAAUGAUCCGGACGCUGUCUCAGCCGUGAGCUCAGUGAAAUUGUAGUGGCGGUGAAGAUGCCGCCUACCCGCAACGGGACGAAAAGACCCCGUGAACCUUUACUAUAGCUUAGCGCUGAUCUUUGCUAGAUGAUGUGUAGGAUAGGUGGGAGACUGUGAAGCGGUAACGCUAGUUAUCGUGGAGUCGCCGUUGAAAUACCACCCUUCGUCUAGCGGGGGUCUAACCAGGAGACUGGGACACCGCUUGGUGGGUAGUUUGACUGGGGUGGUCGCCUCCAAAAGCGUAACGGAGGCUUCCCAAGGUCCGCUCAGAACGAAUGGCAACCGUUCGCAGAGUGCAGUGGCAAAAGCGGGCUUGACUGGGAGACAUACAAGUCGAGCAGGUGCGAAAGCAGGGCAAAGUGAUCCGGUGGUUCCUCAUGGGAGGGCCAUCGCUCAAGGAUAAAAGGUACUCCGGGGGAUAACAGGCUGAUCGCUCCCAAGAGCUCAAAUCGACGGAGCGGUUGGCACCUCGAUGUCGGCUCGUCACAUCCUGGGGCUGGAGCAGGUUCCAAGGGUUCGGCUGUUCGCCGAUUAAAGUGGCACCGCGAGCUGGGUUCA
rnacentral:rRNA from 1 species